AAUGUUUGCGAACUGAAUCCCAGGCAGGUCCACAUAGAGUAAUUCACCGACAACCGGUCCAUCGUCAGCAGUCGGUCCAUGGACAUCAGUAAGUCCAAGAACAUCAGCCAGUCCAUCGUCAUCAGUCGGUCCAUGGACAUCGCUUACGUGAUUGAAGAGUUCAUGAGGAAAUUUUGAAAAUAGGAGAGAAUUGCUGACAGUUCGUAAUAGGUAAUUGCGCUCUUGGUCUCGAGAUGGAAAACAGUCAGAGGAUCAGAGGCUACAGUCUUCA